rnacentral:misc_RNA from 1 species
AAAGUGCGAUAAGUGGUAUCAAUUGCAGAAUCUCCCUAUUACCGAAUCUUUGAACGCAAAAGGCGCGCGGGAGAAGCUUUUUCCAAGCGAACCCCGCGCAUGCCGUAUCGCUCAGUGUCGAACAAAAAACAAAUUAUAUUAGAGUCUUCGUUUUGGGUUUCUCUAGCAACCUCUCUUCCUUUCGGGGGAGAGGGAGAGCAUUCUCUUACCCAACGAAGUGGGCGUGCCCAUUUUUUUUCACCUCGAUGAGAACCCAUGGGCACACAAUGCCAAAAACUUUUUUUUGUUUAAUGCAACAGAAAGCCCCGAGAACCACAACCGUGCCUCGGAAUCCAGAACCUACGUUCACAGACCUGAGUGCGGCAGGACCACCCGCCGAACUUAA